AGGCUGUCCAGGGCUGUGCCUGGUGGGGCUGCUGGGUGUGCUGGGAGGGGUGAGCAAUGGUGUUCCUGCAGGGUCAGAAAGCAGGGAAAGCUGCCUCUCACAACACAGCGGGAGCUGUAGUCCUGGUGUGUGAGGUUUCUGGCCAGCCACGUUGGUUCCCUGGGUCAUGCUGGGAUGCGUGGUCUUACAGCACUUGGCCUGCAGGCGGCCGUGCUGUGUUGGCCAGCGUGUGCCAGGAGCUGUAGGGUUAGGGGUUAGGGUUAGGGGGGU